ACAGAGGGGGCAAGCGUUGUUUGGAAUUACUGGGCGUAAAGGGCGCGUAGGCGGCCUUCUAAGUCGAACGUGAAAUCCCCAGGCUCAACUUGGGAACUGCAUCCGAUACUGGAUGGCUUGAAUCCGGGAGAGGGAUGCGGAAUUCCAGGUGUAGCGGUGAAAUGCGUAGAUAUCUGGAGGAACACCGGUGGCGAAGGCGGCAUCCUGGACCGGCAUUGACGCUGAGGAGCGAAAGCCAGGGGAGCAAACGGGA
rnacentral:rRNA from 1 species